GGGAAAUUAUGCCCCUCCCACAACUACAGGCCCAGCCUGUCAUAUAUCCAUUUUUAUAGCGGUAAUUGUUAAGACCUGCAGUGGUUAUGGUGCUGCGGUCUUGAUUCUCUAUCCCCACAGCUGAGUAGGAGUGAUUAUAUCUGCAGCAGACAGUAAAGGACUGAGAGAGAUGAACUGCAGUUCCAAGGUGUUUCUUCCCAGCAAGUAGAAUAUCCCCCCAAACAUGAGCCUAGACUUCAUGAAGGGUGAAACAGGAAUAAGCUUUAUUGAAACCACACAGGCUUUUAUGAGAAAUCCUCCUGCAAGAGGACCUCCCACAGCAAACAAAGCAACAGCCAAUCAUCACACAAAUUUACAGUGUUACACGCCUCCUCUCUGCCUGGGAGAUAUUGAGAUAAGUUAAGGAAUAAACCAAUUAUCUCCAGGCAGAGAGCAC